rnacentral:tRNA from 1 species
GUUGUAGCUCAGUGGUAGAGUGAUCGCCUAGCAAGUGUGAGGCCCUGGGUUCGAUCCUCAGUACAACA